GGGUGCGGUCAUACCAACAUUAAUGCACUAGAUCCCAUCAGAACUUCACAGUUAAGCACUGUUGGGCUAGAGUAGUACUAGGAUGGGUGACCUCUCUGGAAUUCCUAGUGUUUCACACU
rfam:Picea glauca, whole genome shotgun sequence.